rnacentral:rRNA from 1 species
GUAUCUUCGGAUAUGAGUAGAGCGGCGGACGGGUGAGUAACGCGUAGGAAUCUACCUAGUAGAAGGGGAUAGCCCGAGGAAACUCGGAUUAAUACCGUAUACCUCCUUCGGGAGAAAGAAGGCCUCUCAUUGAAGCUUUCGCUACUAGAUGAGCCUGCGUAAGAUUAGCUUGUUGGUGAGGUAAAGGCUCACCAAGGCAACGAUCUUUAGCGGGUCUGAGAGGACGAUCCGCCACAUUGGGACUGAGACACGGCCCAGACUCCUACGGGAGGCAGCAGUGGGGAAUAUUGGACAAUGGGCGCAAGCCUGAUCCAGCCAUACCGCGUGUGUGAAGAAGGCCCUAGGGUUGUAAAGCACUUUAAGUUGGGAAGAAAAGUUAUUGGCUAAUACCCAAUGACCGUGACAUUACCUUCAGAAUAAGGACCGGCUAAUUCCGUGCCAGCAGCCGCGGUAAUACGGAAGGUCCAAGCGUUAAUCGGAAUUACUGGGCGUAAAGCGCGCGUAGGUGGUUUAUUAAGUUGGAUGUGAAAUCCCCGGGCUCAACCUGGGAACUGCAUCCAAAACUGAUUCACUAGAGUACGAUAGAGGGAGGUAGAAUUCACAGUGUAGCGGUGGAAUGCGUAGAUAUUGUGAAGAAUACCAAUGGCGAAGGCAGCCUCCUGGAUCUGUACUGACACUGAGGUGCGAAAGCGUGGGUAGCGAACAGGAUUAGAUACCCUGGUAGUCCACGCCGUAAACGAUGUCAACUAGCUGUUGGGGAACUAUGUUCUUCAGUGGCGCAGCUAACGUAGUAAG